GGGAAUCUGACUUAGUGGUAGAGUGCUUGCCUAGCAUGCAUGAUGCCCUGGGUUCCCU
rnacentral:tRNA from 1 species